AUUGUGCCUGUAAUGAAGAAUAAAAUUGAUUAAAUUAUCCACCAACAAAGAAAUCUGAAGACGCCAUCAACAAAUACUAAAUAAAAGAUAAGUUUUCUUUGUCGUAUCCUUUUAAUUUUUUAAUGUUUUACUUUUGAAAAUUGGUAUUAAGAUUUCGAAAGCUUAAUUAAAACUUCGAUUUCACUUUAAUGUUAUUAUCUGAUUCAUGAUUAGCAUUCAACUCUACUUGAACUCCCUAUUUCUCUUUAUUUUGAGUUAGAAAUUUCGAAAAAAAAAUUGAAAAACAAUUCCAAAAACUUUCUUCGCGGGGAAUCUAUCGACCUUUCAAUCAUUUAUCCUGAUUGAAUACCAUACCAGAUUUGUAAUCCUCAUGUGUGAAUCUGUAUUACCCAUUUAAUAUUUUCGAAGACGGAGUAGUUUGAUUUUUCGACCAAUUUGAUUUUGUUGAUUUUGUAUAUUUUUAUGUAUAAAUUAGUAAAUAUGAGUCAAAUGAUGAAGAUAAUGCCUAUGUUCGGUUAAUUCAAGGUAAUGAAAGUUGUACAGUUGUGAGAAUGUAUAUAUACUUACGGUAGUGAAUUCGUUCCUUUGGAGCCUUGUUAAUUUGUUUGGUAAUUAGUUAGUUCAUUUAAGUGUUUUGAGGUUGAAGUUUAAGCUUGUAGUUAUAGAUUUGGCUUUUAUUUGAUUUGGAUUUGAAGUAAACUAUAAUUUAACUUUAUGGAUUUCUUUGCAUUGAAUUAAUGGUGGAUUGAUUCAUUCCUUUGGAGCCUUGUUAAUUUGUUUGGUAAUUAGUUAGUUGAUUUAAGUGUUUUGAGGUUGAAGUUUAAGCUUGUAGUUAUAGAUUUGGCUUUUAUUUGAUUUGGAUUUGAAGUAAUAUGGUGGAUUAACGAUAUUUUUAAUUUUCGUGCUCAGUGUAUUUUGAUUUAUAUUUGGUAUACAGAGUUUUAUGCUAAACCUUAAAUGUGUAGUUGUUUUGCUUUGUUUGUGGUCUUGUUGAGCUUGGGUUUUGUGUGAUUUCUAUCCUCCAAGAACUAUUGAGGGUUUCGUGUUAAGUUUAUUUUAAGGAUUGAUUUCAAUUAUGAAUAUUAAGUGUCUUAUACUCUUACCGAAUACAUAACCUUUUUUAUGCUCAUUUGUAGUGUUAGGUGGCCUAGAUGUACUUAGUAAUGAAGAUGCAACAACGGGUACAUCGAAUAGUGAAGUUAUAGAGGUAUUAAAAAACAUACCAUAUAAAGAUGUUGUGUUUGGGAAUGGUGGAUACACAACUAAAUUUUAUCACUUUCAGAGGUAAUUCUAGAUUCCUGGAUAGGUAGUUCUACUAUCUGGCAAGUUGAAUACAAUAAAAAUGCAUGUUUAUAUUAAUUUUGGUUCUUUGCGGUCGCUUAUGUGUCCACUAAUGGAUACUAAACCUAUUGAUAGAAAAUAAGUAAUCCUAUCUGCUAUAUUUUUUGUAUUCAGUUAGAUUCUUGUUAAAAAUCUAAGCCCAUGCAUCAAUAAGCUUUUUCUGGUCCAGUAUAUGAAUCUUAUGUGCUUAACAACUAGUUGUUAAAUGCCUUGUUGGAGGUUCUAGGUAAAUUGCACCCACAUUGGAACAUUGAUGUUUAAGAUCCUUUGGUGCGAAUGGACAAGUAGUUACAUGGAUGUGGGACUAUUAUUUACACAAGUUAUAUGGAUGUGUAACUGAUAGUUACACAUGAUGGGAUACAAAGUCUAUGUUCUAUAUGUUAUGAAAAGUUAUAUCAUGCAUAUUGAAAUGACAAUGCAAGUUAUAAUAUUUGGGGCCAAUUCGUCUA